CCUACGGGUGGCAGCAGUGAGGAAUAUUGGUCAAUGGGCGAGAGCCUGAACCAGCCAAGUCGCGUGAAGGAUGACGGCCCUACGGGUUGUAAACUUCUUUUGUCAGGGAGCAAUUGAGUCCACGUGUGGGCUUAGCGAGAGUACCUGAAGAAAAAGCAUCGGCUAACUCCGUGCCAGCAGCCGCGGUAAUACGGAGGAUGCGAGCGUUAUCCGGAUUUAUUGGGUUUAAAGGGUGCGCAGGCGGAGGUGCAAGUCAGCGGUCAAAUUGCGGGGCUCAACCCCGUACUGCCGUUGAAACUGCAUCCCUUGAGUGCGCGAGAAGUAUGCGGAAUGCGUGGUGUAGCGGUGAAAUGCAUAGAUAUCACGCAGAACUCCGAUUGCGAAGGCAGCAUACCGGCGCGCAACUGACGCUCAUGCACGAAAGCGUGGGUAUCGAACAGGAUUAGAUACCCGUGUAGUC
rnacentral:rRNA from 1 species